UAUGUAGGGUGCAAGCGUUAAUCGGAAUUACUGGGCGUAAAGCGUGCGCAGGCGGUUAUGCAAGACAGAGGUGAAAUCCCCGGGCUCAACCUGGGAACUGCAUUUGUGACUGCAUAGCUAGAGUACGGCAGAGGGGGAUGGAAUUCCGCGUGUAGCAGUGAAAUGCGUAGAUAUGCGGAGGAACACCGAUGGCGAAGGCAAUCCCCUGGGCCUGUACUGACGCUCAUGCACGAAAGCGUGGGGAGCAAACAGG
rnacentral:rRNA from 1 species